GUUUGUUUGGAGUUAUAAGGAAUUUAGUCUGCCCCCUGAUAAAUUUUUUAAAGGGCCGCAGUAUUCUAACUGUGCAAAGGUAGCAUAAUCAUUAGGUUUUUAAUUGAAAUCUUGUAUGAAUGGCUGGACAAAAGAAAAUCUUUCUUUAUAUUAAAUUUUGAAUUUAACUUUUAAGUGAAAAGGCUUAAAUAACCCAAGGGGACGAUAAGACCCUAUAAAACUUUACAUUAUAAUUGGAAUUUAAUUUAAUUUAUUAGGAUAAAAAUUUAAUUUAAUUAUUUGUUGUGUUGGGGAGACAUAAGUAUAAUUUUUAUUUAACUGCUUUAUAGGUUUAACAAUUACAGUUGGGGUAUAAAGGAUCCUUUUUAAAGAUUAAUAAGUUAAGUUACUUUAGGGAUAACAGCGUAAUUUCCUUUAAGAGUUCUUAUCAAAGGGGAAGAUUGCGACCUCGAUGUUGAAUUAAAAUAUCUAUAUAGUGGAGAAGUUAUAUAAGAAGGUCUGUUCGACCUUUAAAUUUUUACAUGAUUUGAGUUCAAACCGGCGUGAG
rnacentral:rRNA from 1 species